CCUCUCGCCUAAAGCCAUAGGGUACCUUAUCGCCUUAGUGCUCCUGUCGCCUUAAUAAUGCUACUUUUAACAAACUCAUUGCAGUUGUUCCCCUAGUUUUCAUUCUUUCCCAAUAAUUCUUUUUCAUUGAAACAAUGCGUUUCAUUCAUUUUCCCAUCAAUACGGGAUAAAACAUAUGUCCACCACAAUAGAACGUUCUCCUUUUCUUUUGACAACAUGUAUCUGGAAUUGUUUCGUUAGCUAAUUAUGAGUGGGAAAGAUAAUUAAAGGGGGA
rnacentral:misc_RNA from 1 species